UGGCCAUUAACUUGGUAAGCCCUCACAAGUAACAGCAAACGCAUACUCUCCUGAAUUGUCUGGCCCGAAAUUCCAGGGGACGUGGCUGCCUGACCCACCAAAUUUCUAAAGAAAUUGUCCCAUGACUCAUCCACGCUAUUUGGGUCAGCUUCCCAAGCUCGUUGUAACUCCUCCAAGUAAACACUACUGGUUCCAUCUAAGAAGCUAUCAGUUAGCCUGGAGAGAGGUACAGGACGAGGGACAGGUGCAGUUUGUGCCUUGGACUUAAAGACAGUGGUAU
rnacentral:misc_RNA from 1 species